rnacentral:rRNA from 1 species
UACGAAGGGGGGCGAGCGUUGUUCGGAUUUACUGGGCGUAAAGGGCGCGUAGGCGGCCAUCUUUGUCAGGCGUGAAAGCCCCGGGCUCAACCUGGGAACUGCGUCUGGGACGGGGUGGCUAGAGAUCGGGAGAGGAGCGUGGAAUUCCCAGUGUAGAGGUGAAAUUCGUAGAUAUUGGGAAGAACACCGGUGGCGAAGGCGGCGA